AUGGAGCUCUGCAACGGCGGCCGCUUGCUGGACGAGAUGGCCAGGUAUGUUACCUUCUCUGAGUUGCAUGCCACAUUUGUGAUCAAGGAUCUCACGUCAGUGGUGAAGUACUGCCACGAAAUGGGCGUCAUCCACAGGGACAAUAAGCCGGAAUAUAUUUUGCUCACCGGAAACAGGGAAGAUGAAACUAGCAGAUUUUGGAUAGGCAGCAUGAGUCACUAA
rnacentral:rRNA from 1 species